UACGUAGGGGGCAAGCGUUGUCCGGAUUUAUUGGGCGUAAAGAGCGUGUAGGCGGCCUUGCAAGUCCGUUGUGAAAACUCGAGGCUCAACCUCGAGACGCCGGUGGAAACUGCAAAGCUAGAGUCCGGAAGAGGAGAGUGGAAUUCCUGGUGUAGCGGUGAAAUGCGCAGAUAUCAGGAAGAACACCCGUGGCGAAGGCGGUUCUCUGGGACGGUACUGACGCUGAGACGCGAAAGCGUGGGGAGCGAACAGG
rnacentral:rRNA from 1 species